rnacentral:rRNA from 1 species
CAGUAGCCGCGGUAAUACGUAGGGUGCAAGCGUUAAUCGGAAUUACUGGGCGUAAAGCGUGCGUAGGUGGUGGUUUAAGUCCGUUGUGAAAGCCCUGGGCUCAACCUGGGAAUUGCAGUGGAUACUGGGUCACUAGAGUGUGGUAGAGGAUAGUGGAAUUUCCGGUGUAGCAGUGAAAUGCGUAGAGAUCGGAAGGAACAUCUGUGGCGAAGGCGACUAUCUGGGCCAACACUGACACUGAGGCACGAAAGCGUGGGGAGCAAACAGGAUUAGAUACCCGAGUAGUCCCUGUCUCUUAUAC